CCCUACCAGAUGGUACGGAAUUUCGAAGGCAAGGCCGUUAGAGGCACGUGUCCGGCCGUUAGCUCGCGCUGCCGGCGAGGGGAAUUCGCGGGGAAGGAGCUGUUUAUUCCGCUGUUCUUAUCAAGCCCACACCAAGAGUGUAACACAGAGGAGACAAGGGAAGGGAUGGGGCCAGCUGCCCCAUGAUUUUCUGACCAAGGCCUUCACGUUUUGGUGGAAGAGGCCCAGAAGAGGAGAGAAGUUCUCUACCCUGAUGGCUGCUGUAAUGCCCCUGCAGCAGCCAAGAAGGUCUGGAUUCAAAUAGCAGCUGUAGUGAGUGCAGCAGGAAAUCAUCAACGCUUGUGGAUUCAAUGCAGGAAAACAUUCAAUGACCUGCUGCAUUCCGGCAAGGUGAGUAGUUUGGGUCCGCCACACAGAGCUCCAAGGGAAGGGUCAUAUUUGAUGCUGCAACUAAGGUGCUAGACAUGGCACAUACAUCUACUUAAGCAUUGAGGCUUAUAUGUGCACACAGCUCAGGUAGUUGCGCACAGAACACGUGAACGAGCACUGUGAUGCACAGAGGCAGUGAAGAGCAAUAUCCCUCCAUGCACUAUAUGAGAGGCUAACAUAAAUUCAUGUUGUCUUUGUUGACUGUCACGAGGCUAUGCCCCUUUAUUUUUACAAAUAUGACUUUUCAACUGACUGCAAAUUUUGCAACUUGAAAUGAGACAGAACAUAGGACUUAAAAAUGCAAGGCAACCUUCCAAGGAAGAGGUGAAAAAGCAAACAAGACACCCUCAGGGGAGUGUGAAGAGAGCGACAUUUCCUACAUUUCCCAGAUCCAUCGAAACUUGUCGCUGUCUAAGGAAGAGACAUUAAAAUGCGAAGUACUGGAUAAUAAAAUAACAGCUGCCACAGACAGACCGAACCCAAAACCCCUUGGGGAUGGGUGAAGUAUAACAAGCCAGGCUGCAGUCACUGAGGAGAGAUUGCAAAUGACACAGGGAAUGUCACAAAAGUUUUCAGCAGUGGAAACAGGUUGAAAAGCCACUCUCUUUUUUGGAAUAAGUGUAUUAAGUCAACUUUACUAUAAAUCUACUAGCGAACUGAGACAUUCUGCAACAUCUUCUACACCUGACCACAACCAUGAAACCAGCUAAUCCAAAUCGGCUGCAACAAGUAAAAAUCUACUCCUCAAGGGCAAUCAAAGGACAUUUAACUAUAUAUUCUUUUAACUUUUGUUUAUUUUACUCUAACUUCCCUUAUUUCUAAUACGUGUGUGCGUUUGACGUCACAUUUUUCUUUUUUUUCCCUCGGGUUUGGUAGUUAAUAAACUUGCUCUUUCUUUAACUCAG